rnacentral:misc_RNA from 1 species
AACUAUCGAAACACCCUUUCUUUGGGGUGUUUUGGACUUUGGGAGUGUUUUGCUGGCCUGUUUGAGCCAGCUCUCCUCAAAAGCAUUAGCUUUGGAGACUGUCAGUGUGAUAACUUUGUUUAACACUGAGUCUCUGCUUCUUAAAUAUGUGCCCC